rnacentral:tRNA from 1 species
GCCGAUUUAGCUCAGUGGUAGAGCAGCGCUUUCGUAAAGCGCAGGUCCCCGGUUCAAGUCCGGGAAUCGGCUCCA